CAUGACAAUGAUUCUUGGUGUGAAGAUGAUGUGUCUUAUCUGACUUGAACAGAGAGUGGCAGAGGAGGCAUGAUCAAUUCCACACGAUUGGCUACCGUGAUGGCCUCACAGCGGGAAAAGAAGCUUCAGUACAAGAGGGUUUCAAUGUCGGCUUCAAGCAAUCUGUGCUUGUUGGUUACAGCUGGGGCCUUGUUAGAGCCAUACACAAGUGCACUGGCAUGUCUUC